UUUCCGGCCCGCUAGUAUCGCCGCUGUCUCUGCUGUUAUCCUGCUACCGCGCUCGCUUUCUCUUUUCGCGAGUGUUAUAUUCACUUUUAAAUUGCAAAGAUCAAAAGCGAGCAGACACGAAUGAGCCACUCUCAAGUCUGGGCAAGCAAACAAGUGCGAGUCUCGAUUUAGGACCGGUGAUUGACAGCCUCCGGCUCGCCACUAUUGCCACUAUGCUCCAUUUCAUCGAGCACGGUUUCAUCGAGCACGGCUACACGGGAAUCGGAAGAUCACUUCCUUGGUGCCUCGUCGUACACUGGAUGCACUCCAUAAAUGGCAGGAACUGGCCUACUGUGGAUUUGUGGGAAAGAAGGAAAGGCCAGGGAGCAGGCAUUAAUGGGACCAGUGGACCAUAAAAAUGCCCCUGGUAACUUCUACUAUGGAAUGUGCUGUCCUUUUUGACUACCAGUCAAGUCGUGUACAAGGCAAGUUUGAACAUUGUUAUAUGUGCCUAUUUGUUUCCAGAGCUGUGAAGCAACAUUUUUUGGUAAUUAGUCACAAAAUUACAGUUCAAAGGCUUAUAUUUUGUGCCUAUUUUUUAAGUAUGA